rnacentral:rRNA from 1 species
UACGUAGGUGGCAAGCGUUUGUCCGGAUUUAUUGGGUUUAAAGGGUGCGUAGGCGGUUGUAUAAGUCAGUGCUGAAAUAUCCCAGCUUAACUGGGAGGGUGGCAUUGAUACUGUAUGACUUGAGUAGAGUUGAGGUUGGCGGAAUUGACGGUGUAGCGGUGAAAUGCUUAGAUAUCGUCAAGAACACCGAUAGUGAAGACAGCUAACUAAGCUCUAACUGACGCUGAGGCACGAAAAGUGUGGGGGAUCAAAACAGG